rnacentral:rRNA from 1 species
UACGUAGGAUGCAAGCGUUAUCCGGAAUUACUGGGCGUAAAGCGUGUGUAGGUGGCGCGUUAAGUUAAAUGUUAAAUCCUCAGGCUCAACUUGGGGGCUGCAUUUAAUACUGGCGUGCUCGAGGAUGGUAGAGGUAAGCGGAAUUAGCGGUGUAGCAGUGAAAUGCGUAGAUAUCGCUAGGAACACCAAUGGCGAAGGCAGCUUACUGGAACAUUCCUGACACUGAGACACGAAAGCGUGGGGAGCGAACGGG